rnacentral:lncRNA from 1 species
UGUCACUGUCCUUGACUCGGCUGGACCUGCCUCUGAAGCUGAGGCCUCUUGGCUGCGGGAGAGCAAUCAGGUUCCGUGGUGAAGAGCGAUGACUGUCUAAAUCCUGCCCCAAAGGCGGCUUACCUUACCUCCUGUCCUGCUUCUCCUGCACAGCUGCCGCCCCAGCGUUCCUGCGAACAAACCUCGCUGCGCUUGCUCCUGCACUUGUCACUCACAGGUCCCUGCACCUGCACUUGGGCAUUUUGCUGGGAGCGACAGAGACUCCGAGGGCUGGCCACAACGGAAGGUGGCCCCACACAGGUGGGCUGAGGGAAGGCCUGAGCCAUUAUCUUGUUCCCCUGUGCCCCACCCCUUCGGUCAGUCUCUUUCCUGGACACAAGCCCUUCUGGUUAGUUUCUCUUGGCGUCCAAGCUGGGUUUUGUCUUGUAAGGAUUCUCAGCUCAAGUCUCUUCUCAUAAACCUUGUCAUUACCAACGUCAUUCCUACAGACAGUUCUGACACUUGAAUCUCUGUCCCACAGUCAGUGACUUCUGGGUAUGUGUACUACUAUUUUUGCUUUUGUUUUUUUGUUUUUUUCUGUCUCAACUAUUUUUUUUUUAUAUUUAGUCAUUUUGUUUUACAUAUGUGUGUUUGACUUCUAUGUACAUAUGUGUACCAUGUACAUGCCUGGUGUUGACCAAGGUUAGAAGAGGGCAUCAAAUCUCCUGGAACUGGAGUUAUGAAUAGUUGUGAAUCACCAUGUGGGUGCUGAGAAUCAAACCCAGGUCCUCUGCAAGAGCAACAAGUGCUCUUAGCCUCGAGUCCCUGCCUCAACUUUACAAAAAGAACAAAAGCAAACAACAGCAACAACAACAACAACUUUUUUUUUGAGACAGAGUCUCACGUAGCUCAGACUGGCCUUGUGUAAACUCAGACAGGGUUUUUCUCUGUAGCCUUGGCUGUCCUGGGACUCACUCUGUAGACCAGGCUGGCCUCGAACUCAGAGACCAGCCUGCCUCGGCCUCUGCAGCACUGGGAUAAAGGUGUGCGCCACCACUGCCCGGCUGAUCCUGAGCUUCUGGUCCUUCUGUCCCUACCUCGAGUGCAGAUUUUACAGGCAGAUGCUACCACACCUGGUUUAUACAGAGCUGGGAAUCAACCCAGGGCUUUAUGCACGCUGAGCAAGCACUCA